rnacentral:lncRNA from 1 species
GUAGGGUUUUAAAGGGAGAUAAACACAGUCUCAUCAACUAAGGAGAGAUUUGCUGCAGUAAAUAGGAUGAGGGAAAUAGUCUGUGGGAUGCAAGCAAAGGAAGCAGGGUGCCUUAGACACUGAGUGGAGCCAGAAAGAUCAUGCGGCCUUUUUCCAAGUACAUGGCCACCAAGUAAGAAUGGUUGGUGACAAGACAGAAGGCUAAAACAGGAAGGUAAUCUUGUGCACCUGACAAAUAGAAAGAAUAAAGGAUCAAAAUUGAAGGCAGGCUAUAAGAGUAUCAAGAAAUUCUUAAAAACCAAAAAGUGAUUUGGAAGCACAAAACUUACAGUUAAUGCUACCCAAUGUCAUGAUGGGCCAAGAACAUUGUGGCUUCCUAAGUUAGAAAAUGCCAUAUGCCAAAAUUUUAAAUGGAACACACUACAUUUUUUUCUAAUCAAUCCCCCCC